rnacentral:rRNA from 1 species
UCCUAUCAGUUAGUUGGUGAGGUAAUGGCUCACCAAGACGACGACGGGUAGCCGGCCUGAGAGGGUGACCGGCCACACUGGGACUGAGACNCGGCCCAGACUCCUACGGGAGGCAGCAGUGGGGAAUAUUGCACAAUGGGCGAAAGCCUGAUGCAGCAACGCCGCGUGAGGGAUGACGGCCUUCGGGUUGUAAACCUCUUUUAGUAGGGAAGAAGCGAAAGUGACGGUACCUACAGAAAAAGCACCGGCUAACUACGUGCCAGCAGCCGCGGUAAUACGUAGGGUGCAAGCGUUGUCCGGAAUUAUUGGGCGUAAAGAGCUCGUAGGCGGUUUGUCGCGUCUGCUGUGAAAAUCCGAGGCUCAACCUCGGACCUGCAGUGGGUACGGGCAGACUAGAGUGCGGUAGGGGAGAUUGGAAUUCCUGGUGUAGCGGUGGAAUGCGCAGAUAUCAGGAGGAACACCGAUGGCGAAGGCAGAUCUCUGGGCCGUUACUGACGCUGAGGAGCGAAAGCAUGGGGAGCAAACAGGCUUAGAUACCCUGGUAGUCCAUGCCGUAAACGUUGGGAACUAGAUGUGGGGACCAUUCCACGGUGUCCGUGUCGUAGCUAACGCAUUAAGUUCCCCGCCUGGGGAGUACGGCCGCAAGGCUAAAACUCAAAGGAAUUGACGGGGGCCCGCACAAGCGGCGGAGCAUGCGGAUUAAUUCGAUGCAACGCGAAGAACCUUACCAAGGCUUGACAUAUACGAGAACGCUGCAGAAAUGCAGAACUCUUUGGACACUCGUAUACAGGUGGUGCAUGGUUGUCGUCAGCUCGUGUCGUGAGAUGUUGGGUUAAGUCCCGCAACGAGCGCAACCCUCGUCCUAUGUUGCCAGCACGUAAUGGUGGAAACUCAUGGGAUACUGCCGGGGUCAACUCGGAGGAAGGUGGGGAUGACGUCAAAUCAUCAUGCCCCUUAUGUCUUGGGCUUCACGCAUGCUACAAUGGCCGGUACAAUGGGCUGCAAUACCGCAAGGUGGAGCGAAUCCCAAAAAGCCGGUCUCAGUUCGGAUUGAGGUCUGCAACUCGACCUCAUGAAGUCGGAGUCGCUAGUAAUCGAGUCA